rnacentral:rRNA from 1 species
AUUUAAAGUUUAACCUGCUCAAUGAAAUUUAAAUGGCCGCAGUAUUUUGACUGUGCAAAGGUAGCAUAAUAAUUAGUUUCUUAAUUAGGAACUAGAAUGAAUGGUUGGACAAGAGAGUUACUGUCUUUUUUUAAAAUAUUUUUGAAUUUUAUUUUUAAGUGAAAAAGCUUAAAUUUUUAUAAAAGACGAGAAGACCCUAUAGAGUUUAAUAUUUUUUUUUAAUAAAAUAAUAGAAUAUAAAUUUAUAAUUAAAUAUUUAAUUGGGGUGAUUAAGAGAAAUGAAUAAUUCUUUUAAGUUUUAAUUGAUAAUUUUCAAUAUAAGAAUCUAUUAAUAGUAAAUUUAAGAUAAAUUACCUUAGGGAUAACAGCGUAAUUUUUUUUAAAAGUUCUUAUAUAAAAUAAAGUUUGCGACCUCGAUGUUGGAUUAAAAUUAAUUUUUGGUGCAGUAACUUAAAAAUUAGGUCUGUUCGACCUUUAAAAUUUUACAUGAUCUGAGUUUAAACCGGCGUAAGCCAGGUUGGAUUCUAUCUUUAGAAUAUUACUAUAUUUUAGUACGAGAGGACCAAAUAUGGAUUAUAUUAAUUAU